AUUGAACGCUGGCGGCAGGCCUAACACAUGCAAGUCGAGCGGAUGAAGGGAGCUUGCUCCUGGAUUCAGCGGCGGACGGGUGAGUAAUGCCUAGGAAUCUGCCUGGUAGUGGGGGAUAACGUCCGGAAACGGGCGCUAAUACCGCAUACGUCCUGAGUGAGAAAGUGGGGGAUCUUCGGACCUCACGCUAUCAGAUGAGCCUAGGUCGGAUUAGCUAGUUGGUGGGGUAAAGGCCUACCAAGGCGACGAUCCGUAACUGGUCUGAGAGGAUGAUCAGUCACACUGGAACUGAGACACGGUCCAGACUCCUACGGGAGGCAGCAGUGGGGAAUAUUGGACAAUGGGCGAAAGCCUGAUCCAGCCAUGCCGCGUGUGUGAAGAAGGUCUUCGGAUUGUAAAGCACUGUAAGUUGGGAGGAAGGGCAGUAAGUGAAUACCUUGCUGUUUUGACGUUACCAACAGAAUAAGCACCGGCUAACUUCGUG
rnacentral:rRNA from 1 species